rnacentral:sRNA from 1 species
GCUCUACCAUCUGAGCUACAUCCCCAUAU